rnacentral:rRNA from 1 species
GACGAACGCUGGCGGCGUGCCUAAUACAUGCAAGUUGAGCGAUGAAGCUUGGUGCUUGCCCCAAUUUGAAGAGCAGCGAACGGGUGAGUAACGCGUGGGGAAUCUGCCUUUGAGCGGGGGACAACAUUUGGAAACGAAUGCUAAUACCGCAUAACAACUUUAAACAUAAGUUUUAAGUUUGAAAGAUGCAAUUGCAUCACUCAAAGAUGAUCCCGCGUUGUAUUAGCUAGUUGGUGAGGUAAAGGCUCACCAAGGCGAUGAUACAUAGCCGACCUGAGAGGGUGAUCGGCCACAUUGGGACUGAGACACGGCCCAAACUCCUACGGGAGGCAGCAGUAGGGAAUCUUCGGCAAUGGACGAAAGUCUGACCGAGCAACGCCGCGUGAGUGAAGAAGGUUGUCGGAUCGUAAAACUCUGUUGGUAGAGAAGAACGUUGGUGAGAGUGGAAAGCUCAUCAAGUGACGGUAACUACCCAGAAAGGGACGGCUAACUACGUG